rnacentral:rRNA from 1 species
UACGUAGGGGCCUAGCGUUAUCCGGAUUUAUUGGGUUUAAAGGGUGCGUAGGCGGGUUAUUAAGUCAGUGGUGAAAGCCUGCAGCUUAACUGCAGAACUGCCAUUGAUACUGAUGAUCUUGAGUAUGAUUGAGGUGGGCGGAAUGUGUCAUGUAGCGGUGAAAUGCUUAGAUAUGACACAGAACACCGAUUGCGAAGGCAGCUCACUAAGCCAUAACUGACGCUGAUGCACGAAAGCGUGGGGGAGCAAACAGG